rnacentral:rRNA from 1 species
AUUGAACGCUGGCGGCAGGCCUAACACAUGCAAGUCGAGCGGCAGCGGGAAGUAGCUUGCUACUUUGCCGGCGAGCGGCGGACGGGUGAGUAAUGUCUGGGAAACUGCCUGAUGGAGGGGGAUAACUACUGGAAACGGUAGCUAAUACCGCAUAACGUCGCAAGACCAAAGAGGGGGACCUUCGGGCCUCUUGCCAUCAGAUGUGCCCAGAUGGGAUUAGCUAGUAGGUGGGGUAACGGCUCACCUAGGCGACGAUCCCUAGCUGGUCUGAGAGGAUGACCAGCCACACUGGAACUGAGACACGGUCCAGACUCCUACGGGGGGCAGCAGUGGGGAAUAUUGCACAAUGGGCGCAAGCCUGAUGCAGCCAUGCCGCGUGUAUGAAGAAGGCCUUCGGGUUGUAAAGUACUUUCAGCGGGGAGGAAGGUGUUGAGGUUAAUAACCUCAGCAAUUGACGUUACCCGCAGAAGAAGCACCGGCUAACUCCGUGCCAGCCGCCGCCGUAACAC